AUUGAACGCUGGCGGCAGGCCUAACACAUGCAAGUCGAGCGGAGCGGCGGACGGGUGAGUAAUGCCUAGGAAUCUGCCUGGUAGUGGGGGAUAACGUCCGGAAACGGGCGCUAAUACCGCAUACUAUCAGAUGAGCCUAGGUCGGAUUAGCUAGUUGGUGGGGUAAAGGCCUACCAAGGCGACGAUCCGUAACGGGUCUGAGAGGAUGAUCAGUCACACUGGAACUGAGAACCGUUCCAGACUCCUACGGAGGGCAGCAGGGGGAAAUAUUGGACAAGGGGGGAAAGCCUGACGGAGCAACGCCGCGUGAGUGAUGAAGGUCUUGGGUUCGUAAAACUCGGUUAUUAGGGAAGCGGUACCUAUCAGAAAGCCACGGCUAACUACGUGCCAGCAGCCGCGGUAAUAC
rnacentral:rRNA from 1 species